rnacentral:rRNA from 1 species
UAGGGAAUCUUCCGCAAUGGACGAAAGUCUGACGGAGCAACGCCGCGUGAGUGAAGAAGGAUUUCGGUUAGUAAAACUCCGUUGUUAGGGUAGAAAAAAUGUAUAGUAACUAUACACAAAAGAGACGGUACCUAACCAGAAAGCCACGGCUAACUACGUGACAGCAGCCGCGGUAAUACGUAGGUGGCAAGCGCUGACCGGAAUAAUUGGGCGUAAAGCGCGCGCAGGUGGUUUAGUAAGUCUGAUGUGAAAGCCCACGGCUCAACCGUGGAGGGUCCUUGGAAACUAAUAAACUUUAGUGCAGUGGAGAAAAGUGGAAUUCCUGGUGUAUCGAUGAAAUUCGUAGAGAUUUGUUGGAACACCGGUGUCGAAAGCGGCUUUUUCGCCUGCAACUGACACUGAGGCGCGAAAGCGUGGGAAUCAAACAGU